rnacentral:tRNA from 1 species
AGGAUUAUAGUUAAUCAUAACAAUUGAUUUGCAAUCAAUAAGUACUAUUUAUAGUUAAUCUUA